GCAAAUACAACAAAUCUGCGUGGUGAAAUAUGCUAUUCAAGUCUCUGGGAUAUCAGUGAAGCAAUUAAGGAUCCUAAGUUCACUAAAGACACAUCCAGGAACCUGUAUUUUAAGCUUGAACCGAAUGACUUUUGCUCAAACGUUAGUACAACAUUUGAGCAAAAAACUUGUGAUAACCCCAAUUCCACCUUUAACAUAAUAACGUCCAUCCCAGUUGGUAGGUGCAUUUUGUACAUUUCUAAAUGAGGCCCGGCAAUAAAAUGUGGUGCCAAGAGUGAAGAAUUAGACAUUGCAUCAUAUUUGAUACAAUACAACAUAUAAUGUUUAAAUACGUUGUUUAUGUAGUUAAGUUAAUACUUUAAUGUUAUAAAAUUUAAUUGUUUGCUGUCUUUAACAGAACUUUUCAUGGAUGAGCAAAAAGUUGAUUUGACACACCCACAAGUUCUUCCUGCAAUAUUAAAGUGGACUAAUAAGCCAGUAAAUUGUUCGAGCAAACUCACCUUUAAUUACACCUGUCGGGGGGACAACCAAAAUGAAUUUUUUUCUGCGAUGGUAACUGACAACGAUACUGUUUUGCCUGAGAUGGAACCCUUUACAGCAUACAAUUGUACCAGCCGUAUUCAUGGCAGCAAUAAAAGCUUUGAAAAGACCACACAUUUAAAAAUUGCCUGUG
ensembl:lncRNA